CCAUGAAGGCAAGCGCUAUGUCGACUGUGUUUUUCACGGAAACCACAGGGCUGGGGAAAGUGGCUCAAUGAAUGUUUGUUGAAUCAGUGAAAAUGACACCUCUCCACUCUGCCUUCCAUAUCAUCUAGCUCUCAUGUCAGAGCAACGCACAGCAUCUCAAAGUUGCAGAAUUAUGUGACACACUGAAUAGGACCCAUGAGGGAGUGAGAGACUAACUCUUUAUGGCCAACGCCUGCUGUUGUGUUCAGAGGGCCCGAGCAUUCCCACAGGAAGAAGAGGAUUUCCCUCACUUCUGGGCAUACAAAUUUCCUUGGCCCUGUUGCCUGC